UCAUGUGAGACACUGAUGUUUGGGGUGGUUGUGGGUUUGCGUGUGCAUGAUACCAACUCCUUUUAAUUUGAUAUAAAACCCGGCCAGAAGAUAGCUGAGGUUUCUCACAGUUUCAUUGUCCAUUUGUUUGAUCUCAGCUUUGUGCUUCAGAGUAAAAGGUUUAGUGUUUGUUUGUGUUAAGCAGUGAUGAACGACCCUAGGUACCCAUAUGCUUACCCUGCCCAAGGCCAAGGUUAUUAUCAAGGACCCCCAGUGAUGGCACCUCCACAAUAUGCUGCUGCACCUGCACCCAGGAGAUCAGAAGCAGGUUUCAUUGAGGGAUGUUUAGCGGCUCUCUGUUGCUGCUGCCUGAUUGACGAGUGUUGCUGCGACCCAUCCAUCUUAUGUGUCUGCUGAUCAUCAUCAUCGGCCUGUAAUUGCAUGCACGUACGAAUAUUUCCCGCUUGUAAAUAGUAUCAUGCUCGAAAUUGUUCUCGUCUGGUGAUCAGUGAAAUUCAUGCGUUCGUACAUGUAGACUUUGUUUUAGAUUUGCAGUUUCUAUGUCUAUCGAUCUUUGUGUUGUAGUUGCUAA